AAAUAAACAGACGUGACAGACAGAGGAGAGGACAGACAAAAGAUGACCACUUGAAGAACCAGAGUUACAGGUUGUCUGAAGGACCGUCGAGGAUGUUGUCACUGAGCAUGUUGACAAUUUUGAUAUAUGGAAGAUGACUAAGGUUAUCCAGUAUUUCAUCAGUUUCCUCAUUGAAGAGGCCGACACCAUCAAAAGAUAAGUCCUCAAUACGCAUGUGAGAAUCAUCAGAAAUGUGCGCUGAUUGGAGCCAGGCAUGCCUCCAUAGGGCCACAGCAGUAGCCAUGUGUCUAGAAACUGCCUUGAUUAUAUGAUGCACUGUUAUGCGUUCUUGAUGUGCUAAUGCCAUAGCCUCUUGAUGAAAUGCAAGGCCACGAGGCUUGUAUUCUCCCGGGGCUGACUGUAAAGUUGGAAGGGCCUUGUUCCAAAUAUACCUAUGACAGGCUUCCAUCGCUGCUAGAUAAUUGGCUGUGAAAAAUGCCAGCGAGUAAACUCUACAUCCAAUAAUGUCGUUUCCU